CAGUCGCCACGGGAAUACGAAGGGGGCUAGCGUUGUUCGGAAUUACUGGGCGUAAAGCGCACGUAGGCGGAUCGAUCAGUCAGGGGUGAAAUCCCAGGGCUCAACCCUGGAACUGCCUUUGAUACUGUCGAUCUGGAGUAUGGAAGAGGUGAGUGGAAUUCCGAGUGUAGAGGUGAAAUUCGUAGAUAUUCGGAGGAACACCAGUGGCGAAGGCGGCUCACUGGUCCAUUACUGACGCUGAGGUGCGAAAGCGUGGGGAGCAAACAGGAUUAGAUACCCCUGUAGUCCCUGUCUCUUAUAC
rnacentral:rRNA from 1 species